AUUAACGCUAGCGGCAGGCCUAAUACAUGCAAGUUGUACGGGAUUAUUGGUAGCAAUACUGAUAUGAGAGUAGCGCACGGGUGCGUAACACGUAUGCAACCUACCUUUAACUGGGGAAUAGCUCACCGAAAGGUGAAUUAAUACCGCAUAAAAUCACAGAAGGACAUCCUUUAAUGAUUAAAUCUCCGGAGGUUAAAGAUGGGCAUGCGUCCGAUUAGCUAGUUGGCGGGGUAACAGCCCACCAAGGCAACGAUCGGUAGGGGUCUGAGAGGAUGAUCCCCACACUGGUACUGAGACACGGACCAGACUCCUACGGGAGGCAGCAGUAAGGAAUAUUGGACAAUGGGGACAACCUGAUCCAGCCAUGCCGCGUAGAAGGAU
rnacentral:rRNA from 1 species